ACAAGUGUAUGAGAGGUGAAGGUCUGGAAACAAGGAAGUGCAAUGUGCACUUAAACAAAAUGGACUUUAACUGUCAGACUCCAGGUUAGACACCCAACCUGUAAAAAAUCAACCUGCCAGACAAGCACUCAAAUGAAGGAACAAAGCAAGCAAGAGUAAAACCAGCAGAAAGACACCGCAAGAGAGGCCGCAAAAAGGAAGGAAGAAGUUUGUAACAGUGAGUGAGAGAGAGAGGGAGGGACGAACGACAGGCAUAUAUAUGCUGUCAGGACGACCGGCUCUUCUAAGCACAGAAUACCCUGUUUACGUGUCGAGACAGAAGGAGAAGCCGAGGGCAGAGGAACAUUUGAAAAGGGAAGAUGGUUCGGUAAGUUGAGACAGACUUUUCACGCA